rnacentral:rRNA from 1 species
GCGCGUAAAUUGCCCGAAUCCUGACACAGGGAGGUAGUGACAAGAAAUAACAAUACAGGGCCUUUUAGGUCUUGUAAUUGGAAUGAGUACAAUUUACAUCUCUUCACGCGGAUCAAUUGGAGGGCAAGUCUGGUGCCAGAAACCGCGGUAAUUUCAGCUCCAAUAGCGUAUAUUAAAGUUGUUGCAGUUAAAACGCUCGUAGUCGGAUUUCGGGGCGGGCGGGCCGGUCUGCCGAUGGGUAUGCACUGGUUGGCGCGUCCUUCCUCCCAAAGACCGCGCCUACUCUUAGCUGAGCGGGCGCGGGAGACGGGACGUUUACUUUGAAAAAUCAGAGUGUUUCAAGCAGGCAGUCGCUCUUGCAUGGAUUAGCAUGGGAUAAUGGAAUAGGACGCUGGUGCUAUUUUGUUGGUUUCGAACACCGGAGUAAUGAUUAACAGGAACAGUCAGGGGCACUCGUAUUCC